GUCUCACUAGGUUGGUUGCUUACAGCCUGGCUAAAUUGCUGAGGCUGACUUUGAACCUGUGAUCCUCUUGCCUCAGUGUCCUGGGAUUAUAGGCGUGUGCUACCACGUCCAGCACCAAAUGGUUUAGGAUCUUGACAGGGAGUAUGAGGUCUGCUGAAGCUUUUGACAGACACCUUGAUCAUGUUAAGAAAAUUUCCAUCCAAGAGCAAAGUUUUACUGAGUGGUGUUGAGCUGCUUCGACUACAGUUGAGAUUAUGUUGUUUUCCUUCUUUAAUCUGAGGAUAACAACAUCAAUCAUUUUACUAAUCUUUUGAACUAUUAUUGACCUAAAGAGGAGGCCCUGUGAGGCUGUGAGAGCAGAGACAGAAGGCAGUCAGGAUUAAGGCAAGUGCUCUACCACUGAGCCACACCCCAGCCCCUGAUUUAGCUUUUUAAUCCAUGCUCUGCACGAGGGGAGCUUGUUUCCUCUGGAGGAUCUUGCUCAGUUUUGCUUCAGUGUCCUGCUAGCCUUAAAACAGGGUGGGCCGCUUUUGCCUUUUUGUAUGUACUGGGAGUGUUUGCUGAGGGCAAAGCUGAGCCAUUCCUGCAUCAUGACUAGGACUGACUGUAAGCCACCGGGAGCUGGCACCUUGCUGACCACUUCUUGUUUCCUUGAGCCAAUUUUGACCAGAAAAUUUAAAAGAACAUUCUCUUAUUGGAUUAUUUAUUUUUCCAAUAUAAACCAUUUCUCUGUUUCUCCACAUUUUUUAUUGGUGCAUUGUAGUUGCACACAAUGUUGAGAUUUGUUGUUACCUAUUAACCGUAUGUGUACACAAUAGAACAAUAUAAUUUGGCCAAUUUGAUUCUCCAGCACUUUCCCUUUAUCUCUCUCUCCCCCUCUCUCUUUUAUUUUUUGGUCCUGGGGAUUGAACCUGGGAACUCUACCCCUGAACCAUAUCUCCAGCCCUUUUUAUUUUUUGAGACAGUGUCUUGCUAAGUUGCUGAGGCUGGCUUUUAACUUGUGAUCCUCCUGCCUCAUCCUCCGGAGUUACUGGGAUUACAGGCCUGUGCCACUACGCCUGUCGGUAUCUUUGAAUAAUUUUGCCUCAAGGUCUAUGUUCUCUUGCUAUGCAUGCUUUUUUUGUAGUGCUGGGGACUGACCCCAGGGCCUUGUGCGUGUGAGGCAAGCACUCUACCAUCUGAGCUAUAUCCCC
rnacentral:lncRNA from 1 species